UUUCCGUAGGUGAACCUGCGGAAGGAUCAUUAUUGAAUAAACCUGAUGUGGUUGUAGCUGGCCCUUUCGGGAGCAUGUGCACACCCGUCGUCUUUAUCUUUCCACCCGUGCACCUUUUGUAGACCUGGAUGUAACACUUUCCGAGGCAACUCGGUCGGGAGGAAUGCUGUCAGCUUUCCUUGAAUGUCCAGGCCUAUGUUUUCAUAUACCCCAGAGAAUGUAACAGAAUGUAUUAUUGGGCCUUGUGCCUAUAAACUAUAUACAACUUUCAGCAACGGAUCUCUUGGCUCUC
rnacentral:misc_RNA from 1 species